rnacentral:pre_miRNA from 1 species
GUGCAGCACUUCUAGGGCAGUAUACUUGCUGAUUGCUUCCUUCGCUAUUACUCACAACAACCAGCUAAGACACUGCCAAAGAAGCACUCAC